UUCUAAAAUGUCUGCAGCCUUCUGUUUCCUUGCUCCGUGAUCUUCUCUACAGUUGGAAUGGCUCAUUGCCUGUUUAGCCUGAGUGCUUCUGUUUUCUGUCUCCUGUGUAGAGACCUGGCUUAGGCCCUUCAUGGUGGUAUUCGUGACAAUGAAACCAUUUAGGGGAUUCCUCUAGCAACCAUGCAUUAUUGCUCAGCACUCUGCUCUAGUUUUCCUGCUUUGGAAAAGUGUUUCUGCAUAACUUUUAACGUUACUUUAGAAUUCUACAAUGUAGAAACAAGAGGACUUUUGAUGUUAGCCAUAAGAGAAUGAUUGCUCCAGACAUCUGUUUGGUUACAAUGAGCAAAGUGCAAAGCACAGGAAAAAGGGACCGGAAAUGCACACAGCCUGCAUGUUACUGUUGAGAGGCAGAGAUGGGAGCCAGGGAAGACCAAGGUGGCUGGAAUUUGUGAGCAGAACAGCCAAGAGAAGAGAAAGAUGCAGAUAAAGAGUUCUUGCUGUCUGCAGAGCCGACCUCUUGGGUCUUUGGUCAUUGAACUCCAUCACUUUGGGCAAAAACGCUUCCAGAGGAAGAACUAACACUGAGGAGCAGUAGGCUAGCCAUUUCUUGUGCAUCACAAGGCGAGAAUCACUGAGAUUCCACUAGCCAAAAUAUAGACAUCAUUUCAAUCACUAAUCUCACACACCAG